UGAGUAAUACAUCGGAACGUGUCCUGUAGUGGGGGAUAGCCCGGCGAAAGCCGGAUUAAUACCGCAUACGAUCUACGGAAGAAAGCGGGGGAUCCUUCGGGACCUCGCGCUAUAGGGGCGGCCGAUGGCAGAUUAUCUAGUUGGUGGGGUAAAGGCCUACCAGGGCGACUAUCUGUAUCUGGUCUGAGAGGACCACCAGCCACACUGGGACUGACACACGGCCCACACUCCUACGGGAGGCAGCAGUGGGGAAUUUUGGACAGUGGGGGCAACCCUGAUCCAGCAGUGCCGCGUGUGUGAAGAGGGCCUUCGGGUUGUAAAGCACUUUUGUCCGGAAAGAAAACCAUCGCCCUAAUAUGGUGGUGGGAUGACUGUACCGGAAGAAUAAGCACCGGCUAACUACGUGCCAGCAGCCGC
rnacentral:rRNA from 1 species